GUUGCCAGAAAAAUACAUCAGCAACAGUGUCAAAAAGUAUGCUGAAUGUGCCAAAGAAUAUCAUUAUUCAGUUACAAAGGUCCACAAGUACACAGAGAAAAGUGCUAAAGCAGAUAGAACUCCAUUUCAGGAUUGAUUUAAAAAAGAUUAUGUUGAGGACAAUAAUGGUCAAGAAGUCAAGGCUGACCUUUUUGCAGUGAUAGUCCACAAAGGGGGAACUUUAAAAAGUGGGCAUUAUUAUGCAUAUAUACAGUUUGGAGGACACUGGUAUUGUGUAGAUGACAUGAGGGUUUGUAUAACAAUUAAAAACUUAAGACUUACAGGAACAGACACAAAAUAUGUUUACUAAUUAGUA